rnacentral:rRNA from 1 species
UACGGGGGGUGCGAGCGUUGUCCGGAAUCACUGGGCGUAAAGCGCACGUAGGCGGAUUUGCCAGUCAGGGGUGAAAUCCCGGGGCUCAACCUCGGAACUGCCUUUGAUACAGCAAGUCUUGAGUUCGAGAGAGGUGGGUGGAAUUCCUAGUGUAGAGGUGAAAUUCGUAGAUAUUAGGAAGAACACCGGUGGCGAAGGCGGCCCACUGGCUCGACACUGACGCUGAGGUGCGAAAGCGUGGGGAGCAAACAGGG